rnacentral:rRNA from 1 species
UACGAAGGGGGCUAGCGUUGCUCGGAAUCACUGGGCGUAAAGGGCGCGUAGGCGGCGUUUUAAGUCGGGGGUGAAAGCCUGUGGCUCAACCACAGAAUGGCCUUCGAUACUGGGACGCUUGAGUAUGGUAGAGGUUGGUGGAACUGCGAGUGUAGAGGUGAAAUUCGUAGAUAUUCGCAAGAACACCAGUGGCGAAGGCGGCUUACUGGACCGGUUCUGACGCUGAGGCGCGAAAGCGUGGGGAGCAAACAGG